rnacentral:tRNA from 6 species
UGCAGGGAGAAUUGGUAUUCCAUCCGGUCUCAUAAGCCGGACUCCGAGGGUUCGACUCCCUCCUCUGCAA